ensembl:lncRNA
CACCUCACCAGUCAGUUUGCAUGUGCUAGUUGUGCACCCUGUUCUGCCAGUCAAUACACAACGAGGUUUUUCUGCCUUUCUUUCAGAAUCUUUGCAUUCCGCAAUUAGUUUUCACAGAUCUUGGAAUGUUCUUAUCUAAACUUUGGCUUUCUCUGUUAAACCUGGUAAAAAGUUCAAAAAUUAUUAGAUGUGGAAGAGAGUGAGCAUUUGUCAUAGAAAAGAAGACAAUGUAGCUCUCCUGGAGUUCAGAGCCUACUGUAGUGCCAGUGUGGAACACUGUGAGGCCCAAGAGGGAAUUCACUGCAGGUUCAAAAUUAAAACAGACCAGAUACUACACAUUUUAGGAAUUGUGUUUAGAAACAAAAUGAGGACUUGGAAGUAA